GACGAACGCUGGCGGCGUGCCUAAUACAUGCAAGUCGAACGCAGUGGGGACGGGUGAGUAACAUGUGGGUAACCUCCAAUCAGAGGGGAUAAAACAUGGAAACAGGUGCUAAAACGAUACUGAUGGAUGGACUCGCGGUGGAUUAGCUAGUUGGUGAGGUAACGGCUCACCAAGGCCACGAUGCAUAGCCGACCUGAGAGGGUGAUCAGCCACCGUGGAACUGAGACACUGCCCAGACUCCUACGGGAGGCAGCAGUGGGGAAUCUUCGGCAAUGGACGAAAGUCUUACCGAGCAACGCCGCGUGAGUGAAGAAGGUUUUCGGAUCGUAAAACUCUGUUGUUAGAGAAGCGGUAUCUAACCAGAAAGCCACGGCUAACUACGUGCCAGCAGCCGCGGUAAUAC
rnacentral:rRNA from 1 species